rnacentral:rRNA from 1 species
AUAAUGGGUCAGCGACUUAUAUUCUGUAGCAAGGUUAACCGAAUAGGGGAGCCGAAGGGAAACCGAGUCUUAACUGGGCGUUAAGUUGCAGGGUAUAGACCCGAAACCCGGUGAUCUAGCCAUGGGCAGGUUGAAGGUUGGGUAACACUAACUGGAGGACCGAACCGACUAAUGUUGAAAAAUUAGCGGAUGACUUGUGGCUGGGGGUGAAAGGCCAAUCAAACCGGGAGAUAGCUGGUUCUCCCCGAAAGCUAUUUAGGUAGCGCCUCGUGAAUUCAUCUCCGGGGGUAGAGCACUGUUUCGGCAAGGGGGUCAUCCCGACUUACCAACCCGAUGCAAACUGCGAAUACCGGAGAAUGUUAUCACGGGAGACACACGGCGGGUGCUAACGUCCGUCGUGAAGAGGGAAACAACCCAGACCGCCAGCUAAGGUCCCAAAGUCAUGGUUAAGUGGGAAACGAUGUGGGAAGGCCCAGACAGCCAGGAUGUUGGCUUAGAAGCAGCCAUCAUUUAAAGAAAGCGUAAUAGCUCACUGGUCGAGUCGGCCUGCGCGGAAGAUGUAACGGGGCUAAACCAUGCACCGAAGCUGCGGCAGCGACGCUUAUGCGUUGUUGGGUAGGGGAGCGUUCUGUAAGCCUGUGAAGGUGUACUGUGAGGUAUGCUGGAGGUAUCAGAAGUGCGAAUGCUGACAUAAGUAACGAUAAAGCGGGUGAAAAGCCCGCUCGCCGGAAGACCAAGGGUUCCUGUCCAACGUUAAUCGGGGCAGGGUGAGUCGACCCCUAAGGCGAGGCCGAAAGGCGUAGUCGAUGGGAAACAGGUUAAUAUUCCUGUACUUGGUGUUACUGCGAAGGGGGGACGGAGAAGGCUAUGUUGGCCGGGCGACGGUUGUCCCGGUUUAAGCGUGUAGGCUGGUUUUCCAGGCAAAUCCGGAAAAUCAAGGCUGAGGCGUGAUGACGAGGCACUACGGUGCUGAAGCAACAAAUGCCCUGCUUCCAGGAAAAGCCUCUAAGCAUCAGGUAACAUCAAAUCGUACCCCAAACCGACACAGGUGGUCAGGUAGAGAAUACCAAGGCGCUUGAGAGAACUCGGGUGAAGGAACUAGGCAAAAUGGUGCCGUAACUUCGGGAGAAGGCACGCUGAUAUGUAGGUGAAGCGACUUGCUCGUGGAGCUGAAAUCAGUCGAAGAUACCAGCUGGCUGCAACUGUUUAUUAAAAACACAGCACUGUGCAAACACGAAAGUGGACGUAUACGGUGUGACGCCUGCCCGGUGCCGGAAGGUUAAUUGAUGGGGUCAGCG